rnacentral:rRNA from 1 species
GCCGGCUCCCGCAAGGGCCGAUGUCGAGGUGCUGCAUGGCUGUCGUCAGCUCGUGUCGUGAGAUGUUGGGUUAAGUCCCGCAACGAGCGCAACCCUUGUCCGCUGUUGCCAUCACGUUAUGGUGGGCACUCUGCGGAGACUGCCGGUGAUAAACCGGAGGAAGGUGGGGAUGACGUCAAGUCAGCAUGGCCUUUAUGUCUGGGGCUACACACGUGCUACAAUGGCCGGUACAAACCGUCGCGAUACCGCAAGGUGGAGCUAAUCGGAGAAAGCCGGUCUCAGUUCGGAUUGCAGGCUGCAACUCGCCUGCAUGAAGUUGGAAUCGCUAGUAAUCGCGGAUCAGCACGCCGCGGUGAAUACGUUCCCGGGCCUUGUACACACCGCCCGUCACAUCACGAAAGCUGGCUGUACUAGAAGUCACUGAGCUAACCCGCAAGGGAGGCAAGUGCCUAAGGUAUGGUCAGUGAUU